rnacentral:lncRNA from 1 species
GCUGGAGUCUUCCUACUCAUCCGCUUUCACCCCUUGGCAGAAAACAACCCAACAAUCCAAAUCUUCACACUAUGCCUAGGCGCCACCACUACCCUGUUUGCAGCAGUCUGUGCUCUUACACAAAACGACAUCAAAAAAAUUGUAGCCUUCUCCACUUCGAGCCAACUAGGACUUAUAGUAGUCACAAUUGGCAUCAACCAGCCAUAUCUAGCAUUUCUACCCAUCUGUACCCACGCUUUCUUUAAAGCCAUAUUAUUUAUAUGCUCCGGAUCCAUCAUUCAUAACCUC